GUCCGUAGGUAUGAUACCCAUCUCCCGGUUUGAAACAAAGAUUGUUUGCAAUUCCAGGUGAACAGCAUCUCCUUUUGCCUCGAGCUUGACCCAUAUGCUGCAUAUCCCUGGAGCGCUCCCUGCCCUCAGCUGUUUCACGAUCUUUAUGAUCUCACAUUUUGUGGUUCACAGUCGACUAAAGGAGGAUCAGUCUUAUACAACCGAUCAAAAUCGCCAGUCCACUGUGGCAGUGGAGUAUGAGAUA